ACCCCCCCGGCUAUGUAACGCAUCGUAACGUUUAACGAGACCCUCCUCCCCCCCAAAUUGCGUUACGUAAUACUUGAACGCUCCCUAAGCAACUUUUUCUCUUCAUCAGGGCUGCAAACCGGUUUUGAACCGAACCGGUUUUUGAACCGUACCGUCGUAUUUUUUCCGUUAAAAGCUGUACCACGAACCGAACCAUUUUUACUUUGAAAACACUGAACCGAACCGAAAACCACUAAAACCUAGUGGUUGGGUUCGGUUCAAAUAAAGAAUUUUUCAGUCAAUUUUUACUCUAAAUAUUUGUAAAAAGUGCAACUCUGCGCCUUGCAUAUUUCAAGCAUUUUUAUAUUUAUAUGGCAAUACUGUUGUAGUACUGACUUUUGUCAUCUGUAAAAUGCGCACAUCACUUAUUGCAUUUACAUACUCGCAACAUUUACGUAAUUACUUUUUAAUUUUAAUAUGUUUAUUUAUUCAAAAUGAGCAAAAAUAAAGUGCAUGAAGAAUUGACUUACAAUACAAAAGAAAAUAAAAGUGUGUGCAAAGAUUGCAUCAUGCAAAUGGCUGGAAAACAUACGGAAAAUUUAUUAAGACAUGUGAAAAGGAAGCAUAGUGAUGUUGUGGAACUGUUGCCUAAAAAGAAAAAGAGUGAACACGUUAAUAACGACAACAGCAUUUUAAAAUACGUUGUAGCCAAGACGCCGAAGUCACAAUUUUCACAAAGGAACAAUUGUUGGAAGCUUGUUUGGAGCUGGACACAAAGAAUGGCAGACCACUGAAAAUAUUAGAAGACAGUGGCUUUCGAAAAAUUAUUGAUCCGAUUUGCAAGACAGUGGGUAUUACCAUUAACAGACAAAAGAUAAAAGAAGAAAUUAUCCAAAGAGUUUUUGCGCUGCGUUAUCAAAUAACAAACAGAUUAACUAAUCGGUUACUUUCUAUUAAAGUUGAUUGCGUAAGUAGAUUAGAUCGAUCUAUAAUAGGCAUCAACGCACAAUAUAUUGCAAAUGGAGAAAUACAAAUUGAAACUUUGGCAAUGAAGGAAAUAUUUGUGAAACAUACCGCACUGAAUCUCUUCAAUACAAUCACGGAUGUUCUUCAAUCAUUUCAAAUAAAUAUAGAUCGGGUUUAUUCAAUAACAAUCGAUAAUGCCGCCAACAUGGUUUGCGUUGGUAAAUUAUUUAAUAAUAACUCAAAAGUGCCAAGUGAUGAAAAUAGCAACGAAGUUGCUAUCGAAGAUUCAGAUAGUAAAAACGACAUGUUCAUGUAAUAAAUGAGUAUAAAAAUAA